rnacentral:rRNA from 1 species
GACGAACGCUGGCGGCGUGCCUAAUACAUGCAAGUCGAACGCAGUGGGCACGGGUGAGUCACAUGUGGGUAACCUCCCAUCAGAGGGGAUAACACUUGGAAACAGGUGCUAAACCGAUACUGAUGGAUGGACCCUCUGUGCAUUAGCAAGUUGGUGAGGUAACGGCCCACCAAGGCCACGAUGCACAGCCGACCUGAGAGGGUGACCGGCCACACUGGGACUGAGAGAGGGCCCAGACUCCUACGGAAGGCAGCGGUGGGGAAUCGUCGGCAAUGGACGAAAGUCUGACCGAGCAACGCCCCGUGAGGGAAGAAGGUUUUCGGAUCGUAAAACUCUUUUGUUAGAGAAGCGGUAUCUAACCAGAAAGCCACGGCGAACUACGUGCCAGCAGCCGCGGUAAUUC